UACAGAGGGGGCAAGCGUUGUUCGGAAUUACUGGGCGUAAAGGGCGCGUAGGCGGCCUUCUAAGUCGAACGUGAAAUCCCCGGGCUCAACCCGGGAACUGCGUCCGAGACUGGAAGGCUCGAAUCCGGGAGAGGGAUGCGGAAUUCCAGGUGUAGCGGUGAAAUGCGUAGAUAUCUGGAGGAACACCGGUGGCGAAGGCGGCAUCCUGGACCGGCAUUGACGCUGAGGCGCGAAAGCUAGGGGAGCAAACGGG
rnacentral:rRNA from 1 species